GAGAGUUAAAUAGUACGUGAAAUUGUUGAAAGGGAAACGAUUGAAGUCAGUCAUGCUAGUGAAAAUUCAGUUUGACGGGUUUUGGGUUUAGGAGUAAGAGGUAGGGUUAAACCGUCUCUCUUUUAAACUUGGGAUUUGUCGGAUGCACUUUUUCUUUGGCAGGUCAGCGUCGAUUUCGGGGGUUGUAAAAUACUUGGGGUAAAGUAGCUCUGCUUCGGGAGAGUGUUAUAGACCUUGGGUGAUGCAACCUGCGGGAUCGAGGAUUGCAGCAAAUGCCCUUUGGCUUGUCGCCUGAUUUUCUGGACGUUGCCUCGUUUGUGACAAUAUUCUUGUCACCGAUGGGUACCAAUGCCUAUUACUUAGAGCGAUCAGAAAUUUUGCUAAGGAUGCUGACGUAAUGGCUUUAAACGA
rnacentral:rRNA from 1 species